rnacentral:rRNA from 1 species
CGGACGGGUGAGUAACACGUGGGUAACCUGCCCGGAAGUGGGGAAUACCUCGGGGAAACUCGAGCUAAUACCGCAUAACAUCUUUGGGACGAAAGUUCCGACGAUCAAAGCGGGGUCGCAAGAUCUCGCGCUACCGGAUGGGCCCGCGCCCGAUUAGCUAGUUGGUGGGGUAACGGCUCACCAAGGCUUCGAUCGGUAACCGGCCUGAGAGGGCGAUCGGUCACACCGGAACUGAGACACGGUCCGG